rnacentral:rRNA from 1 species
CGUAGGCGGGAUGGCAAGUCGGUCGUGAAAUCCUUCGGCUCAACCGAAGAACGUCGAUCGAUACUGCUGUUCUUGAGGAUUGCAGAGGAGACUGGAAUUCCCGGUGUAGCGGUGAAAUGUGUAGAGAUCGGGAGGAACACCGGUGGCGAAGGCGGGUCUCUGGGCAAUUCCUGACGCUGAGGCGCGAAAGCGUGGGGAGCAAACGGGAUUAGAUACCCCCGGUAGUCCACGCUGUAAACGAUGACGACUAGGUGUGGGGGGGUUCAGUCCCCUCCGUGCCGCAGCUAACGCAUUAAGUCGUCCGCCUGGGGAGUACGGCCGCAAGGUUGAA